ensembl:lncRNA
GAAGAAAACAAUUAAUAAAAAGCAGUGCACAAAUGUGUGAUUAUGUAAUAGCACUUUCAUAUUUAAGAGUUAAUGUAUGUGUUUUGUCAUGUGUUCAUGCAUGUUUAUUGAACUGUCUUAUAACGGAAAAAAAAAUUCAUUUGUCAGUUGGUACGAGAUGUGUGAAUCCUGCAUCUCCUGCUAGAAGCUGGAAGAACAGGCUGUUGUGUGACUAUGUCAUUUAAACAUUACUUCAUUAUGAAUCUCCUUAAAUUAUUUAACAACCCUGUUAUGAGCAAGUCCUGAUAAUAAUGGAGCAUGUUGGGUUUGGUUUUUUUGUAAAGGUAUCAACUGUCCUAUGAGUCAGUCUGAGGAAAAAGAUGAGGGACUGCUCCAUCAAAUGAGUAACAUGGCAGCCAGGCAGAACGCGAGAGCAGUAGCAGAUCAUGGAGCAGCACAGAAGUUUGAGAUUUUGACUCUGAUGGACUCAAGUCAGAGUCACCGUUUGCACUGGAAGGUGGUGGCUUCCUCCUCUUCACAUUUGUUGCUCCCUUGCAGGACUCCAGGCAAAGAUGAAAAGUUUCUGGAAACUGUUCAUUGUAACUUUUCGUCUACCAUUUGUAAAUACAGGAAGGAACUGCUGGAUCAUGCUGGCAACCCUGUUAACCACAGAUCAUGUUGUCAUUUCAUUUGAUUUCUAAUCACACUGCAAUACACUUUCAGAUAAAAAGGUUCAUUCUGUUCAUUUAGACACCGUCUUGAGUAACUGCAAUAGAGAUUAGAUUAGAUUAGAUUAGAUUAGAUUAGAUUAGAUUAGAUCCCUCGGGUGGGUUCCUCCGGGAAAUUCGGUUUCCAAUAGCACAGCACCGACAGAAGUUACAGAAUGUGAGCAGAAAUAUAUCAUAUGUACACAUAUAUAAAUACAGAGAUAUAUAUAAAUACAGAGUAUACAAAAGGGAUAAAUAGAAUAAAUAGGAUAAGAAUACAAGGGAAUUGCACAUUUCAAGUAUUGUGAGUCUAUUGCACCGUUGGAUAUUAACAAAAAGUAUUGCACAGUGAAAAGGCACUACAGCUUAGUUGUCCCGCCCCCUUUGUCCUGUUUCCCCUCCCUAUGCCCUCAAGAGAGGAGUUAAACAGUUUGAUGGUGUGUGGGACAAAGGAGUUUUUAAGUCUGCUGGUUCUUGUCUUUGGGAAAAGCAACCUAUCACUGAACAGACUCCUCUGGUUGUUUAUGGCCAUGUGGAGAGGAUGCCCAGCAUUGUCCAUAAUGUCCAGCAGUUUCUUUAGUGUCCUUUUCUCUGCCACUGUCCCAACAGUGUCCUGCUUCAUGCCAACCACAGAGCCAGCCUUCCUGAUCAUUUUUGCCAGAUAUAUCAGUUCAUUUGCAUUUAAGUGUGCUUAUACUACAUAUUUGUGUUUACAACUUUCAUGAAUUAAACUAUGUGUUAUUAUGUGUUCCUUGAAAUGGUAGUGACACCUCAACUUGCCCAUGCAACUUUACCUUUUCAAUGUUGUAUCUAACAACAUUGUAUGAAGGCUUAUACAUCAAGGCUUCCAAAGCGCAGCCUCAAUUCAUG